rnacentral:rRNA from 1 species
AACGAACGCUGGCGGCAGGCCUAACACAUGCAAGUCGAGCGGACCCUUCGGGGUUAGCGGCGGACGGGUGAGUAACGCGUGGGAACGUGCCCUUUGCUUCGGAAUAGCCCUGGGAAACUGGGAGUAAUACCGGAUACGCUCUUUCGGGGAAAGAUUUAUCGGCGAAGGAUCGGCCCGCGUUGGAUUAGGUAGUUGGUGGGGUAAUGGCCUACCAAGCCGACGAUCCAUAGCUGGUUUGAGAGGAUGAUCAGCCACACUGGGACUGAGACACGGCCCAGACUCCUACGGGAGGCAGCAGUGGGGAAUCUUAGACAAUGGGGGAAACCCUGAUCUAGCCAUGCCGCGUGAGCGAUGAAGGCCUUAGGGUUGUAAAGCUCUUUCACCGGGGAAGAUAAUGACGGUACCCGGAGAAGAAGCCCCGGCUAACUCCGUG